rnacentral:rRNA from 1 species
ACGAGCGCUGGCGGCGUGCUUAACACAUGCAAGUCGAACGGAAAGGCCCCCUUGUGGGGUACUCGAGUGGCGAACGGGUGAGUAACACGUGAGUAACCUACCCUUGACUUUGGGAUAACUUCAGGAAACUGGGGCUAAUACCGGAUAGGAGCUCCUGCUGCAUGGUGGGGGUUGGAAAGUUUCGGCGGUUGGGGAUGGACUCGCGGCUUAUCAGCUUGUUGGUGGGGUAGUGGCUCACCAAGGCUUUGACGGGUAGCCGGCCUGAGAGGGUGACCGGCCACAUUGGGACUGAGAUACGGCCCAGACUCCUACGGGAGGCAGCAGUGGGGAAUAUUGCACAAUGGGCGGAAGCCUGAUGCAGCAACGCCGCGUGCGGGAUGACGGCCUUCGGGUUGUAAACCGCUUUCGCCUGUGACGAAGCGUGAGUGACGGUAAUGGGUAAAGAAGCACCGGCUAACUACGUG